UGUUUUUCUUGUCUAAUCUGACAAAUUAAAAGAGAAAAACACUAUUUCCAGGCGGUCUAAACACUAUUAAAAAAAUAAAGCGAUGAUAUAGGAAAAGGCGAAAAAAUCGAAUUCUCAUUUAUAUAUCCCUAUCUCAGUCUGAGAAUUACAAGAAUAUGGGAAUAAAGUGAUGUUUUUCUUGUCUAAUCUGACAAAUUAAAAGAGAAAAACACUAUUUCCAGGCGAUCUAAACACUAUUAAAAAAAUAAAGCGAUGAUAUAGGAAAAGGUGAAAAAUCCAAUUCUCAUUUAUAUAUCCCUAUCUCAGUCUGAGAAUUACAAGAAUAUGGGAAUAAAGUGAUGUUUUUCUUGUCUAAUCUGACAAAUUAAAAGAGAAAAACACUAUUUCCAGGCGAUCUAAACACUAUUAAAAAAAUAAAGCGAUGAUAUAGGAAAAGGUGAAAAAAUCCAAUUCUCAUUUAUAUAUCCCUAUCUCAGUCUGAGAAUUACAAGAAUAUGGGAAUAAAGUGAUGUUUUUCUUGUCUAAUCUGACAAAUUAAAAGAGAAAAACACUAUUUCCAGGCGGUCUAAACACUAUUAAAAAAAUAAAGCGAUGAUAUAGGAAAAGGCGAAAAAAUCGAAUUCUCAUUUAUAUAUCCCUAUCUCAGUCUGAGAAUUACAAGAAUAUGGGAAUAAAGUGAUGUUUUUCUUGUCUAAUCUGACAAAUUAAAAGAGAAAAACACUAUUUCCAGGCGAUCUAAGCACUAUUAAAAAAAUAAAGCGAUGAUAUAGGAAAAAGUGAAAAAAUCGAAUUCUCAUUUAUAUAUCCCUAUCUCAGUCUGAGAAUUACAAGAAUAUGGGAAUAAAGUGAUGUUUUUCUUGUAUAAUCUGACAAAUUAAAAGAGAAAAACACUAUUUCCAGGCAAUCUAAACACUAUUAAAAAAAUAAAACGAUGAUAUAGGAAAAAGUGAAAAAAUCGAAUUCUCAUUUAUAUAUCCCUAUAUCAGUCUGAGAAUUACAAGAAUAUAUGAAUAAGGUGACGUUUUUCUUGUAUAAUCUGACAAAUUAAAAGAGAAAAACACUAUUUCCAGGCGAUCCAAACAGUAUUAAGAAAAUGAAGCGAUGAUAUAGGAAAAGGUGAAAAAAUCGAAUUCUCAUUUAUAUAUCCCUAUAUCAGUCUGAGAAUUACAAGAAUAUAUGAAUAAAGUGACGUUUUUCUUGUAUAAUCUGACAAAUUAAAAGAGAAAAACACUAUUUCCAGGCGAUCUAAACACUAUUAAAAAAAUAAAGCGAUGAUAUAGGAAAGGGUGAAAAAAUCGAAUUCUCAUUUAUAUAUCCCUAUCUCAGUCUGAGAAUUACAAGAAUAUGGGAAUAAAGUGAUGUUUUUCUUGUCUAAUCUGACAAAUUAAAAGAGAAAAACACUAUUUCCAGGCGAUCCAAACAGUAUUAAGAAAAUGAAGCGAUGAUAUAGGAAAAGGUGAAAAAAUCGAAUUCUCAUUUAUAUAUCCCUAUCUCAGUCUGAGAAUUACAAGAAUAUGGGAAUAAAGUGAUGUUUUUCUUGUCUAAUCUGACAAAUUAAAAGAGAAAAACACUAUUUCCAGGCGGUCUAAACACUAUUAAAAAAAUAAAGCGAUGAUAUAGGAAAAGGCGAAAAAAUCGAAUUCUCAUUUAUAUAUCCCU